GCCUCCAGGAUAGCUCAGUCGGUACAGCAUGAGACUCUUAAUCUCAAGGUUGUGUGUUUGAGCCCCAAGUCGGGCA